rnacentral:rRNA from 1 species
CACGUAGGGACCGAGCGUUGUCCGGAUUCAUUGGGCGUAAAGAGCUCGUAGGCGGUCGGGGAAGUCGGGUGUGAAAUCUCCGGGCUCAACUCGGAGGGGCCACCCGAUACUGCACGACUCGAGUCCGGUAGGGGAGUGGGGAAUUCCUGGUGUAGCGGUGAAAUGCGCAGAUAUCAGGAGGAACACCGGUGGCGAAGGCGCCACUCUGGGCCGGUACUGACGCUGAGGAGCGAAAGCGUGGGGAGCGAACAGG